ensembl:lncRNA
AUGGCUGAAGUUAGUAAGGGGGCUUGCUGGAGGUUUCCUGAUGGGAGGGACCUGCCUACUGGAGAUCAUCCCAAGAACUGCAGGCAGGUCUGACCCACAUUCCUCUGGCACCUCUGCUUUGGCUUGAGACCCAGUGCACAUGAAAGUCGUUGUGUGCCUUUCAAGAGUAGAAUCUCUGUUUCCCCAGGCCUCUGGAGCACCUGCACACAAGCCCAGCUGAUCCUCAACACCAGUGCUCUGGGGGCUCCUCCUCCCAAUGCCACACCCCCAGGCAUGAGAACAUGACAGGCUCAGAACUCCCUGUGGGCGAGCCUCUGUGAUACGGUUACUUUCCAGUGUGUGGGCCGCCCACCUGGCGGGUAUGGGGUUGCUUAUCAGGUAACUGCCCCUCCUACCAUCUGGAUUGGCCUCCUCUUUAUCUUUUGAAACAGGGUAUAUUUUUUGAUAGUUUCCAGUCUAUUUUCUUGAAGGUUGUUCAGAGGUUGGUUGUAAUUUUGUUGUUUUCAUGAAAAAAGUGAGCUCCAGUCCUUCUACUCCAGCAUCUUAAUCCUGGGGGGAGGAGGCCAUAUUUUAAUUCCACGUAUAUGUGAUGUCGUGUGGUUUUUGUCUUUGUCUUUCUGACUUCACUUAGUAUGAUAAUCUCUAGUUACAUCCAUGUCACUGCAAAUGGCAUUAUUCAUUCCUUUUAUGCCUGAGUAGUAUUCCCUUGUAUGUAUGUGUACCACGUCUUCUUAAUCCAUUCAUCUGUGGAUGGACAUGGAGGUUGCUUUCAUCUCUUGGCUAUUGUGAAUAGCACUGCUGUGAACAUGUGGGUACAUGUAUUUUUUUGAAUUGUAAUUUUUCCAGAUAGAUGCCCAGGAGUGGGGUACAUGCUUAGAGGGUAGUUCUAUAUUUAGUUUUCUGAGGUGCCACCAUACUGUUUUCCGUAGUGGUUGUGCCAGUUUACAUUCCCACCAGCAGUAUAGUAGGUUCCCUUUUCUCUACACCCUUCCCAGCACUUGCUUUUUGUUUCAUUUGUUUUUAGGGUCACGCCCAUGGCAUAUGGAAGUUCCUAGGCUAAGGUUUAUAUCAGAGCUACAGCUGCCAGCCAUUGCCACAGCAACACAAAAUCCAGGCCACAUCUGCAACCUACACUGCAGCUUGUGGGAACACUGGAUCCUUAAACCAGUGAGCAGGGCCACGGAUCACCCACAUCCUCAUAGAUCCUAGUUGGGUUUGUUUCCACUGACCCACAACAGGAACUCCCAGCAUUUAUUAUUUGUGGACAUAGAAAGGAUGGUCGUUACUGACUGAUAUGAGGUGGUACCUCAUUGUAGUUUUGAUUUGCAUUUCUCUAAUAAUUAGUGAUGUUGAGCAUUUUUUCGUGUGCCUUCUGACUAUUCACAUGUCUUCUUUGGGGAGAUGUCUAUUUAGGUCUUCUGCCCAUUUUUUCAUUGGGUUGUUUUGUUGUAUGAGUUAUUUGUGUAUUUUGUUUAUGUGUUUUUUUGUUUUCUGUAAUUUUCUUCAUUGUUUUAAGUUUCACUGAAAUACAGGUGGUUUACAAGGUUGUGGUCAUGUCUGCCAUACCACAAAGUGAUUCAGUUAUACAUGUACACACGUCCAUUCUCUUUCAGCUGCUUUCCCACGUAGAUCAUCAUAGAAUAUUGGGUAGAGUUUUCCAUGCUAUAUAGCAAGUCCCUAUUGGCCAGUCAUUCCACAUAACACAGUAUACAUGUGCCUGUCCCCUUUGGUAACCAUAAGUUUGUUUCCAAACUCAGUCUGUUUCUUUUCUGCAAAUAAGUUCAUUUGUAUCUUUUUUUUAGGUUCCACAUGUAAGUGACAUCUGUAUGAUGUUUGUCUUUCACUGUCUAACUUCACUUGGUAUGAUCGUCUCUAGGUCCGUCCAUGUUGCUGCAAAUGACAUUAUUUCAUUCUCUUUUAUGGCAGAGUAAUAUUCCAUUGUGUGUAUGUACCACAUCUUCAUUAUCCAUUCCUGUUGAUGGACAUUUAGGCUGCUUCAACAUCUUGGCCAUUGUGAAUAGUACUGCAGUGAAUAUUGGGGUGCAUGUAUCUUUUCAAGUUAUGGUUUUCUCAGGAUAGAUGCACAAAAGUGCAAUUUCCGGAUCCUAUGGUAUUUCUAUUUUUAGUUUUUUUGAGGAAUCUCCAUACUGUUUUCCCUUGUGGUGGCACCAGUUUACCUUCCUAUCAACAGAGUAAGAGUUCCCUUUUCUCUGCACCUUCUCCAGCAUUUAGUGUUUGUAGAC